rnacentral:rRNA from 1 species
CAGUAGCCGCGGGAAUACGUAGGGUGCGAGCGUUAAUCGGAAUUACUGGGCGUAAAGCGUGCGCAGGCGGUUUUGUAAGACAGGCGUGAAAUCCCCGGGCUCAACCUGGGAAUGGCGCUUGUGACUGCAAAGCUAGAGUGCGGCAGAGGGGGAUGGAAUUCCGCGUGUAGCAGUGAAAUGCGUAGAUAUGCGGAGGAACACCGAUGGCGAAGGCAAUCCCCUGGGCCUGCACUGACGCUCAUGCACGAAAGCGUGGGGAGCAAACAGGAUUAGAUACCCCCGUAGUCCCUGUCUCUUAUAA